rnacentral:lncRNA from 1 species
CUAGCCAGCAAGAGUUAGCAACCCUACAUACAAAGCUUCCUGUUGUCUCUCGCCACCAUGUUAGCUGCAUUACGGCAAGGCUAUUUGUUGGAAUAGGAAGGGGGGAGCUGCUACCGUCAAAAGACACCCGUCAGUUGUUGUUACAGACCUGGUUGCAGCCUUUGAUCAAUGACUACAGCUGGUUACAACAUGGGUGUAGGUCAUUUGACAGGAAGGUUGUAGAGGAAGGAAUUGGUAGGACAAUCCUGACACUGCCUCUAGAGGAUCAGCAGAGUAUUUUGCUUGCUUGGUUGGGCAGUUUUCUAAAGGCUGGUGAUAACUGCCCAAAUCUUCAGAGGGCCUUUGAGGUCUGGUGGCGGAGAACUUUCGUUAGACCUUAUGUUGAACCCCAAGGAAAUCUAAUGUAGUCAGAUAGCUCAAUGACUUCAUGAUGGGUGGCUAAAAGCAUAUCACUGUGUGUUGCAACUUGCAAGUAAUGAUAUGUAUAAAUUUAAUAGGGAUGAUCUUUCACAAUGAGGAGGAG